rnacentral:misc_RNA from 1 species
UUUCCGUAGGUGAACCUGCGGAAGGAUCAUUAUCGAACUUUGACUGGGUUGUACCUGGCCUUCCGAGGCAUGCGCACGCCCUGCUCAUCCACUCUACACCUAUGGACUUACUGUGGGUAUCAUAUCGUGCAGCGUUCUCUUUUACCGGAGCUUGUGAAGCGUGUCUGUGCCUGCGUUUAACACAAACACAAUAAAGUCUCAGAAUGUGUAUUACGAUGUAUCGCAUCUAUAUACAACUUUCAGCAACGGAUCUCUUGGCUCUC